rnacentral:rRNA from 1 species
AUGAAGCAUUGUCGAACCGCUGACGUCGGCGGUGCUUCAUUGCAACCUCGCCGGAGCUUCCAACGACCGCCGCGAUGCUUCACUGCAACCUCGCCGGAGCUUCACUAUAGCCAACACGCUUCAUUGCAACCUCGCCGGAGCUUCAUUGCAACCUCAGUCGUGCUCCAUGGUAGCACCCCGACGGCCGCCGGCGAAGCUUCAUUGCAGCGUCACCACCACCACGCGGCCGUGCUCCAUCGCAGCACCGCUGCCCGCCUGCUCCGUCAAAGCUCCACCGAAGCACCAUACGGGUGCCGGCAAAGCUUCACUGCAGCGCAACGCGAUGGCGUCGAGGUGCUGCGGCGAAUCAGGUGA